rnacentral:rRNA from 1 species
GACGAACGCUGGCGGCGCGCUUAACACAUGCAAGUCGAACGGAAAGGCCUGCUUUCCCUUGUGGAUUGCGGGUACUCGAGUGGCGAACGGGUGAGUAACACGUGAGUGAUCUGCCCCCAACUUGGGUAUAAGCCUGGGAAACUGGGUCUAAUUCCCGAUAGGACUGCAGGGUGGUGCCUGUGGUGGAAAACGAUUUUCUAGUGGUUGGGGAUGAGCUCGCGGCCUAUCAGCUUGUUGGUGGGGUAACGGCCUACCAAGGCGGCGACGGGUAGCCGGCCUGGGAGGGUGGACGGCCACAUUGGGACUGAGAUACGGCCCAGACUCCUACGGGAGGCAGCAGUGGGGAAUAUUGCACAAUGGGCGGAAGCCUGAUGCAGCGACGCCGCGUGGGGGAUGACGGCCUUCGGGUUGUAAACUCCUUUCGACCGCGAGGAAGCCACCUGGUUGGAAGGGUGGUGACGGUAGUGGGAGAAGAAGCACCGGCUAACUACGUG